AUUUAAAUAGCUUAAAGUUUAGAGUAUAAUAUUGAAGAUAUUAGGGUGAUUAAUUAAUCUUUAAAUA
rnacentral:tRNA from 1 species